ACGUUGAUGACGUCAAUGUAUCGCGAGAGCGAGUCAAGAAUUACACUCUCGCGGUACAUUGACGUUAUCAACCUGUCAGCGCAGCAAGAAGUCGAACACACGUAUUUGCGGGCGCGCGCCUCCGUCCUCGUGAGUUCAAAGUGGAUUUUAACCGUUUACCUCAGACGACAGUUUUCAUUUCUAUGGCAAAUUCUAAGGUCAUUUUCUUGUUGUGUUUUGAUGUUUUCCAUUGGCUGAAGAAUGAGCCUGAAGAGGAGAUUUGGGAAGAUGCUGUUUAUAAGUCUUUGCUUUGCCAGAUCACCUGUGGUCGAGAUGUCUGCUAACAAGAUGCCUUGUUGGUCUGGGCGAGUUUGAAGUCUCUCACAGACAGUCCAGAAGGUCUGGAGUCCAUCUUAGCUUUUAUUGAACCCAUCAGCAACCAUCAAGAGAAAUUGGAGGCAGCUGAGCUAAAUUGCAGAUAUUGAUGCAAAUGAUCUGUAUAAUGUAAAUAUAAUAUUUAUUUUUUCAUACAUUUGCAGAAGUUUCUAAAAUUCAGUUUUUACUUUGUCAUGGGGUAUGUAUUGUAGAUUUAUGAGGAAAAUAUCUAAACAAUUACAGUAUCAUGCAACCACCUUAAAAUUUAAAUGUGAAAGGGGUCUACCCUGAAUACUUUCUGAAUGCACUGUAGGUGAUCUUGAUUGAAGAUUAUUGUCACCGUAAACACAACAGCUUUCUUCCUUCAUCAGAUGGCUAUGCUAUGUUUCUAGACAGACCAUUAAAGAACACACACACACCCUGAUGUGCAAUAACAAGAUUUUUUUUAUACAUGGGCUAAAAAUGCAUCAUUUUUGAAAAUGAAAUAACUUUUGUUUUCUCUUUAGAUGCUUUCAUCGGGUUUUAAGUACAGUAUGAGCCAGAAUGGAAGGGUGUUGGUGGCCAUAAGAAGACUGUGAGCUAAACCUACAACAAAAUUCAUAU